rnacentral:rRNA from 1 species
AAGAAAGUAGAAAAGGGCGCAAGGCGGAUGCCUUGGCUCACGGAGGCGAUGAAGGACGUGAUAAGCUGCGAUAAGCCUCGGGUAGAUGCAAAUGAUCUCUGAUCCGAGGAUUUCCGAAUGGGACAACCCGUCUGUCUGAAGGACAGUCACUAUCUUAUGAUAGAGCUAACGCAGGGAACUGAAACAUCUUAGUACCUGCAGGAAGAGAAAAUAAACUAAUGAUUCCCCUAGUAGUGGCGAGCGAACGGGGAAGAGCCCAAACCAUGACUGUGGCAACGCAGCCGUGGGGUUGUAGGACCACGCUGUGGCACGAUGCUUGUGAGAGGAACGUUCUGGAAAGAACGACCAUAGAGGGUGACAGUCCCGUACUCGAAGCACGCUGAAGCCUAGUGGUAUCCUGAGUAACGCGGAACACGAGGAAUUCUGCGCGAAUCCGCCGGGACCAUCCGGUAAGGCUAAAUACUCCCGUGAGACCGAUAGCGAACCAGUACUGUGAAGGAAAGGUGAAAAGAACCCCGAGCAGGGGAGUGAAAUAGAUCCUGAAACCUUGCGCCUACAAGCGGUCGGAGCUGCUUAAGCAGUGACGGCGUGCCUUUUGCAUAAUGAACCUACGAGUUACCAUCUCUGGCAAGGUUAAGCUCCACGCAACCGCAGUGAAAGCGAGCCUGAAUAGGGCGUCAAGUCAGAGGGGGUAGACGCGAAACCAAGUGAUCUACACUUGUCCAGGUUGAAGUCCCGGUAACACGGGAUGGAGGACCGAACCAAUAAGCGUUGAAAAGCUUCUGGAUGAGAUGAGUG